rnacentral:rRNA from 1 species
AUUGAACGCUGGCGGCAUGCCUUACACAUGCAAGUCGAACGGUAACAGGUCUUCGGAUGCUGACGAGUGGCGAACGGGUGAGUAAUACAUCGGAACGUGCCUAGUAGUGGGGGAUAACUACUCGAAAGAGUGGCUAAUACCGCAUGAGAUCUACGGAUGAAAGUAGGGGAUCGCAAGACCUUGUGCUACUAGAGCGGCCGAUGGCAGAUUAGGUAGUUGGUGGGAUAAAAGCUUACCAAGCCGACGAUCUGUAGCUGGUCUGAGAGGACGAUCAGCCACACUGGGACUGAGACACGGCCCAGACUCCUACGGGAGGCAGCAGUGGGGAAUCUUGGACAAUGGGCGAAAGCCUGAUCCAGCAAUGCCGCGUGCAGGAUGAAGGCCUUCGGGUUGUAAACUGCUUUUGUACGGAACGAAAAGCCCCGGGUUAAUACCCUGGGGUCAUGACGGUACCGUAAGAAUAAGCACCGGCUAACUACGUGCCAGCCGCCGCGGUAA